AUUGAACGCUGGCGGAAUGCUUUACACAUGCAAGUCGAGCGGCAGCGCGGCCUUCGGGCUGGCGGCGAGCGGCGAACGGGUGAGUAAUGCAUCGGAACAUGCCCAGUCGUGGGGGAUAACACUUCGAAAGAAGUGCUAAUACCGCAUACGUCCUGAGGGGGAAAGCGGGGGAUCGCAAGACCUCGCGCGAUUGGAGUGGCCGAUGUCAGAUUAGCUAGUUGGUGGGGUAAAGGCCUACCAAGGCGACGAUCUGUAGCUGGUCUGAGAGGAUGAUCAGCCACACUGGGACUGAGACACGGCCCAGACUCCUACGGGAGGCAGCAGUGGGGAAUUUUGGACAAUGGGGGCAACCCUGAUCCAGCCAUUCCGCGUGAGUGAAGAAGGCCUUCGGGUUGUAAAGCUCUUUCGGCAGGAACGAAACGGUGGGCUCUAACAUAGUCCGCUAAUGACGGUACCUGAAGAAGAAGCACCGGCUAACUACGCG
rnacentral:rRNA from 1 species